rnacentral:rRNA from 1 species
AGUGAACGCUGGCGGUAGGCCUAACACAUGCAAGUCGAACGGCAGCACAGUAAGAGCUUGCUCUUACGGGUGGCGAGUGGCGGACGGGUGAGGAAUACAUCGGAAUCUACUUUUUCGUGGGGGAUAACGUAGGGAAACUUACGCUAAUACCGCAUACGACCUACGGGUGAAAGCAGGGGAUCUUCGGACCUUGCGCGUUUGAAUGAGCCGAUGUCGGAUUAGCUAGUUGGCGGGGUAAAGGCCCACCAAGGCGACGAUCCGUAGCUGGUCUGAGAGGAUGAUCAGCCACACUGGAACUGAGACACGGUCCAGACUCCUACGGGAGGCAGCAGUGGGGAAUAUUGGACAAUGGGCGCAAGCCUGAUCCAGCCAUACCGCGUGGGUGAAGAAGGCCUUCGGGUUGUAAAGCCCUUUUGUUGGGAAAGAAAAGCAGCAGGUUAAUACCCCGCUGUCCUGACGGUACCCAAAGAAUAAGCACCGGCUAACUUCGUG